UGACUCUGGUGGCUGCAGUGCAAGCAGGAAGACUCCCAGCUGUCUGAGGGAGAUCUACAAGCAACUUGCAAGAGAGAAAACUGCAGAGGAAUUUCAGGGAGUUUCUGUUCAGUUCUUUGGAUCAGAAUAACCCAAUCAGGUUUAAAGUGAGGAUGGACAGAUAUUGAAAUGCCCAACUUAUUGUACCUAGGUGCCAAAGGAGAUGAUGGAAAUGUCAAAAGCUGAUGGGAAAGAAAAAACCAAAGUAAAAUAAUCUAUGGCCUCAAGACAUGAAGAAAUGACUAAAG